UUUCCCGUAUUCUUUCAUUUUCUUUUCUACAUCCGUCUAUUAAUAACUUUCCUAUUAUAAAAAAGAAAGGAAGGAAAGUUAUAGACGGAUGUUAGAAGAAAAUGAAAG
rnacentral:ribozyme from 11 species